UCCGAAUGGGGAAACCCACCUGCAUAAGCAGGUAUCUUAGCGUGAAUACAUAGCGCUAAGAGGCGAACUCGGGGAACUGAAACAUCUAAGUACCCGAAGGAAAAGAAAUCAAUUGAGAUUCCGGCAGUAGCGGCGAGCGAACCCGGAGCAGCCCUUAAGCGGCUUAGGCGUUAGGUGAACAGGUUGGAAAACCUGGCAAUAAAGGGUGAUAGCCCCGUAACCGACGGCGCCUUAGWCGUGAAAWCGAGUAGGACGGGACACGUGAUAUCUUGUCUGAACAUGGGGGGACCAUCCUCCAAGGCUAAAUACUCCUGACUGACCGAUAGUGAACCAGUACCGUGAGGGAAAGGCGAAAAGAACCCCUGUGAGGGGAGUGAAAUAGAACCUGAAACCGUCUACGUACAAGCAGUGGGAGCCUCCAUGUGGGGUGACCGCGUACCUUUUGUAUAAUGGGUCAGCGACUUAAUGUAAGUAGCAAGGUUAACCGCAUAGGGGAGCCGUAGGGAAACCGAGUCUUAACUGGGCGACAGUUGCUUGCAUUAGACCCGAAACCGAGUGAUCUAGCCAUGGGCAGGUUGAAGGUUGAGUAACAUCAACUGGAGGACCGAACUCACUAACGUUGAAAAGUUAGGAGAUGACCUGUGGCUAGGGGUGAAAGGCCAAUCAAACUCGGAGAUAGCUGGUUCUCCCCGAAAGCUAUUUAGGUAGCGCCUCGGACGAAUACUACUGGGGGUAGAGCACUGUUAAGGCUAGGGGGUCAUCCCGACUUACCAACCCUUUGCAAACUCCGAAUACCAGUAAGUACUAUCCGGGAGACACACGGCGGGUGCUAACGUCCGUCGUGGAGAGGGAAACAACCCAGACCGCCAGCUAAGGUCCCAAAGUUAUCGCUAAGUGGGAAACGAUGUGGGAAGGCUCAGACAGCCAGGAUGUUGGCUUAGAAGCAGCCAUCAUUUAAAGAAAGCGUAAUAGCUCACUGGUCGAGUCGGCCUGCGCGGAAGAUGUAACGGGGCUAAGCGAUACACCGAAGCUGCGGCAAUGUCCUUAUGGAUAUUGGGUAGGGGAGCGUUGUGUAAGCUGUUGAAGGUGUGCUGAGAGGCWUGCUGGAGGUAUCACAAGUGCGAAUGCUGACAUGAGUAACGAUAAAGGGGGUGAAAAACCUCCUCGCCGGAAGACCAAGGGUUCCUGUCCAACGUUAAUCGGGGCAGGGUAAGUCGGCCCCUAAGGCGAGGCCGAAAGGCGUAGUCGAUGGGAAACGGGUUAAUAUUCCCGUACUGCUGCUUACUGCGAUGGGGGGACGRAGAAGGCUAGGUGGGCCUGGCGAUGGUYGUCCAGGUUCAAGUGCGUAGGCUGAUUUCUUAGGCAAAUCCGGGAAAUCAAGGCCGAGACACGAUGUCGAGCCACCAAGGUGGUGAAGUCAUUGAUGCCAUGCUUCCGGGAAAAGCCUCUAAGCUUCAGGUAAGUAGCAACCGUACUCCAAACCGACACAGGUGGUCGGGUAGAGAAUACCAAGGCGCUUGAGAGAACUCGGGUGAAGGAACUAGGCAAAAUGGUACCGUAACUUCGGGAGAAGGUACGCUGCCCGCGGUGAAGUCCCUUGCGGAUGGAGCUAUGGGCAGUCGCAGAUACCAGGUGGCUGCAACUGUUUAUUAAAAACACAGCACUGUGCAAAAUCGAAAGAUGACGUAUACGGUGUGACGCCUGCCCGGUGCCGGAAGGUUAAUUGAUGUGGUUAUCGCAAGAGAAGCCAUUGAUUGAAGCCCCGGUAAACGGCGGCCGUAACUAUAACGGUCCUAAGGUAGCGAAAUUCCUUGUCGGGUAAGUUCCGACCUGCACGAAUGGCGUAAUGAUGGCCACGCUGUCUCCACCCGAGACUCAGUGAAAUUGAAAUCGCAGUGAAGAUGCUGUGUACCCGCGGCUAGACGGAAAGACCCCGUGAACCUUUACUACAGCUUGGCACUGAACAUUGAGCCUACAUGUGUAGGAUAGGUGGGAGGCUUUGAAGCGGCGACGCCAGUUGCUGUGGAGCCAUCCUUGAAAUACCACCCUUGUAUGUUUGAUGUUCUAACUUAGCCCCRUUAUCYGGGGUGAGGACAGUGCCUGGUGGGUAGUUUGACUGGGGCGGUCUCCUCCCAAAGYGUAACGGAGGAGCACGAAGGUGGGCUAAUCACGGUCGGACAUCGUGAGGUUAGUGCAAUGGCAUAAGCCCGCUUAACUGCGAGAGUGACGGCUCGAGCAGGUACGAAAGUAGGUCAUAGUGAUCCGGUGGUUCUGAAUGGAAGGGCCAUCGCUCAACGGAUAAAAGGUACUCCGGGGAUAACAGGCUGAUACCGCCCAAGAGUUCAUAUCGACGGCGGUGUUUGGCACCUCGAUGUCGGCUCAUCACAUCCUGGGGCUGAAGUCGGUCCCAAGGGUAUGGCUGUUCGCCAUUUAAAGUGGUACGCGAGCUGGGUUUAGAACGUCGUGAGACAGUUCGGUCCCUAUCUGCCGUGGGCGUUGGAUGAUUGAGGGGAGCUGCUCCUAGUACGAGAGGACCGGAGUGGACGAACCGCUGGUGUUCGGGUUGUGUCGCCAGACGCAUUGCCCGGUAGCUAAGUUCGGCACAGAUAAGCGCUGAAAGCAUCUAAGCGCGAAGCUGGCCCCGAGAUGAGUCAUCCCUAGAGCUUCGAGCUCUCUAAAGGGUUGUYSUAGACKASRACGUUGAUAGGCAGGGUGUGUAAGCGCUGUGAGGCGUUGAGCUAACCUGUACUAAUUGCCCGUGAGGCUUAACCAUACAACACCCAAG
rnacentral:rRNA from 1 species